rnacentral:rRNA from 1 species
GAUGAACGCUGGCGGUAUGCUUAACACAUGCAAGUCGAACGGACUCUUCGGAGUUAGUGGCGGACGGGGGAGUAACGCGUGAGAAUCUGGCUUUGGGUUCGGGACAACCACUGGAAACGGUGGCUAAUACCGGAUGUGCCGAGAGGUAAAAGAGAAAUUGCCUGAAGAUGAGCUCGCGUCUGAUUAGCUAGUUGGUGAGGUAAAGGCGCACCGAGGCAGCGAUCAGUAGCGGCUCUGAGAGGAUGACCAGCCACACGGGGACUGAGACACGGCAGAGACUCCUACGGGAGGCAGCAGUGGGGAAUUGUCCGCAAGGGGCGAACGCCUGACGGAGCAAUACCGCGUGAGGGAAGAAGGUUCUUGGGUUGUAAACCUCUUUUCUUAGAGAAGAACAAAAUGACGGUACCUAAGGAAUCAGCAUCGGCUAACUCCGUG